GACGAACCACACGAACGUUAUUCGGAAUUACUGGGCUUAAAGGGUGCGUAGGCUGUGCGGAAAGUUAGGUGUGAAAGCCCCCGGCUCAACCGGGGAAUUGCGCUUAAAACUACCGUGCUAGAGGAAGACAGAGGUGAGCGGAACUUCGGGUGGAGCGGUGAAAUGCGUAGAUAUCUGGAGGAACACCGGUGGCGAAGGCGGCAUCCUGGACCGGCAUUGACGCUGAGGCGCGAAAGCCAGGGGAGCAAACGGG
rnacentral:rRNA from 1 species